rnacentral:rRNA from 1 species
UACGUAGGGUGCGAGCGUUAAUCGGAAUUACUGGGCGUAAAGCGUGCGCAGGCGGUUUUGUAAGACAGGCGUGAAAUCCCCGGGCUUAACCUGGGAACUGCGCUUGUGACUGCAAGGCUAGAGUACGGCAGAGGGGGGUGGAAUUCCACGUGUAGCAGUGAAAUGCGUAGAGAUGUGGAGGAACACCAAUGGCGAAGGCAGCCCCCUGGGUCGAUACUGACGCUCAUGCACGAAAGCGUGGGUAGCAAACAGGAUUAGAUACCCUGGUAGUCCACGCCCUAAACGAUGUCAACUAGGUGUUGGGUGGGUAAAACCAUUUAGUACCGUAGCUAACGCGUGAAGUUGACCGCCUGGGGAGUACGGCCGCAAGGUUAAAACUCAAAGGAAUUGACGGGGACCCGCACAAGCGGUGGAUGAUGUGGAUUAAUUCGAUGCAACGCGAAAAACCUUACCUACCCUUGACAUGUCUGGAAUCCCGAAGAGAUUUGGGAGUGCCCGAAAGGGAGCCGGAACACAGGUGCUGCAUGGCUGUCGUCAGCUCGUGUCGUGAGAUGUUGGGUUAAGUCCCGCAACGAGCGCAACCCUUGUCGUUAAUUGCCAUCAUUUAGUUGGGCACUUUAACGAGACUGCCGGUGACAAACCGGAGGAAGGUGGGGAUGACGUCAAGUCCUCAUGGCCCUUAUGGGUAGGGCUUCACACGUCAUACAAUGGUCGGUACAGAAGGUUGCCAAGCCGCGAGGUGGAGCCAAUCCCAGAAAGCCGAUCGUAGUCCGGAUUGCAGGCUGCAACUCGCCUGCAUGAAGUCGGAAUCGCUAGUAAUCGCGGAUCAGCAUGUCGCGGUGAAUACGUUCCCGGGUCU